UACGAAGGGGGCUAGCGUUGCUCGGAAUCACUGGGCGUAAAGGGUGCGUAGGCGGGUUUUUAAGUCAGGGGUGAAAGCCCCGGGCUCAACCUGGGAAUUGCAUUCGAGACUGCGUGGCUAGGGUGCGGAAGAGGGAAGCGGAAUUUCCGGUGUAGCGGUGAAAUGCGUAGAUAUCGGAAGGAACACCAGUGGCGAAAGCGGCUUCCUGGUCCAGUACCGACGUUCAGGCACGAAAGCGUGGGGAGCAAACAGG
rnacentral:rRNA from 1 species